AGAGUUUGAUCCUGGCUCAGGAUGAACGCUAGCUACAGGCUUAACACAUGCAAGUCGAGGGGAAACGACAUCGAAAGCUUGCUUUUGAUGGGCGUCGACCGGCGCACGGGUGAGUAACGCGUAUCCAACCUGCCCACCACUUGGGGAUAACCUUGCGAAAGUAAGACUAAUACCCAAUGACGUCUCUAGAAGACAUCUGAAAGAGAUUAAAGAUUUAUCGGUGAUGGAUGGGGAUGCGUCUGAUUAGCUUGUUGGCGGGUAACGGCCACCAAGGCUACGAUCAGUAGGGGUCUGGAGAGGAAGGUCCCCANAUUGGAACUGAGACACGGUCCAAACGUCCUACGGGAGCA
rnacentral:rRNA from 1 species